rnacentral:rRNA from 1 species
UACGUAGGGGGCUAGCGUUGUCCGGAUUUAUUGGGCGUAAAGAGCGUGUAGGCGGCCAGGUAGGUCUGCUGUGAAAACGUCGAGGCUCAACCUCGAGAUGUCGGCGGAAACCAUCUGGCUAGAGUCCGGAAGAGGAAAGUGGAAUUCCUGGUGUAGCGGUGAAAUGCGCAGAUAUCAGGAGGAACACCGGUGGCGAAGGCGGGUCUC